UAUGUACUCCCAUCGUCCCGAAUUACUUGUCGCAGAUAUGGAUGUAUCUAGAUAUAUUUUAGUUAUAGAUUCGUCCAUUUCUAUCCAUUUUUGCGACGAGUAAUUUGGGACAGAGGGAGUACAAG
rfam:Triticum aestivum genome assembly, contig: Triticum_aestivum_CS42_TGACv1_scaffold_049445_1BS